GACGAACGCUGGCGGCGUGCCUAAUACAUGCAAGUCGAACGCUUCUUUCCUCCCGAGUGCUUGCACUCAAUUGGAAAGAGGAGUGGCGGACGGGUGAGUAACACGUGGGUAACCUACCCAUCAGAGGGGGAUAACACUUGGAAACAGGUGCUAAUACCGCAUAACAGUUUAUGCCGCAUGGCAUAAGAGUGAAAGGCGUUUUCGGGUGUCGCUGAUGGAUGGACCCGCGGUGCAUUAGCUAGUUGGUGAGGUAACGGCUCACCAAGGCCACGAUGCAUAGCCGACCUGAGAGGGUGAUCGGCCACACUGGGACUGAGACACGGCCCAGACUCCUACGGGAGGCAGCAGUAGGGAAUCUUCGGCAAUGGACGAAAGUCUGACCGAGCAACGCCGCGUGAGUGAAGAAGGUUUUCGGAUCGUAAAACUCUGUUGUUAGAGAAGAACAAGGACGUUAGUAACUGAACGUCCCCUGACGGUAUCUAACCAGAAAGCCACGGCUAACUACGUG
rnacentral:rRNA from 1 species